UGAGUAACCUGCCCUUAACUCUGGGAUAAGCCUGGGAAACUGGGUCUAAUACCGGAUAUGACUCCUCAUCGCAUGGUGGGGGGUGGAAAGCUUUUGUGGUUUUGGAUGGACUCGCGGCCUAUCAGCUUGUUGGUGAGGUAAUGGCUUACUAAGGCGACGACGGGUAGCCGGCCUGAGAGGGUGACCGGCCACACUGGGACUGAGACACGGCCCAGACUCCUACGUGAGGCAG
rnacentral:rRNA from 1 species